AUGGCCGAUACAAUUUUAGAAGAUUCUUUCUGGUCUGGGCAACAUAUCAUUGAAGCAUGCCUUGCGAGCCCUUAUCACAGGUUCAUGGGCGCAAUUGCUGUCGAGUGGCUCUACACCCAUAAUUCUUAUGUAGAACUUACAGUAGUUGACAAUCAGCUGAAUAGUAAAGAGAUUGUCACAACUCGGUCAUUCGGUUCUGAUGAGAUUAAAUGUCUGGAGGCCUUGUCGAGUAUUCUACAUUGCACUGUCCAGGGCAAGGCUAUUGCUGUAUCCAACAUCACCAAGCCCUCAAUGGUAGGUACUCCCGUCAAUCACCUAUGUUUGGAGGAAUAUCUAGUCUGUCCAAGUCACAACUUCUCUAGUGCACCUGAACUUACAUUAUGCAAGAGCGGAAAGUUGGAGUUUAACAACAGGAUUUCCUAUAUGGUGGAGCAGUACACUGAGGUUAAUUCUUAUAUGACGAAAAUUGGACUGCAUCCCUUAUUUGUGAGCAUCAGCGCAGCAGAGCGAACCUCACAUAGGAAUAACCCCAUUCAUCAAAUGGUCAAGCAGCGAUUGUCAUGUCCUGCAAGUACAUGCAAGCGGGCACACAUACAAGGGGCAGUUGGUGAGAACCAAGGAGUGUACUCCUUAUUCUGCAAUUGCUCAUGUGGCAAUCCCAACACUAUUGCUAUUGAGGUUGAGUGCUCUGACAGGCAAGGAGUGUACCCCCACAGCAAAAUUAUUUUGGACUAUCAUAGUAGGCUUGGUUGUCUGAAUCUCGGAUUUCUGUUAACAUGGCCAGAUGUCUCAACGAUUCGGAUUAACGUGGUACCUUGCACUGAACUUAGCUCCCAGAAAUAUCCAAUGCGAAGUGUGGACCAGCUGAUGUUGAAGAGCUCCUAUGGAUGCCUUGUUCUUGCAAACACUUCUCCAAAAAUAAUGCUCGAGUGCUCUCCUACUGAGCUGGUGAGCUGGAAACUCUCACAGGCUCAUGCCGCGGAGUUCUAUAUCGACUGCUCGGUACAUUUGAGGUUUGAGUACAGUCCCUUGAUGGUUUGGAAGAUUGCUUGGGUGCUUGGUUCUGUGCGUACUAUUGUUGCAUACAACUCCCAGUGUGCAGUCUUUACAAGACUGAAUGGUUGGCAUGUGAUGGGUCAACCAAGUGCUCUCAGGUGUAUCUCCCUGAUCGGCAAGCAAAAUUUGAAGGAUGGAGGAGUCUUAUGCUUAUGGACAUCUUCCUCGAUCAAGUCUACAUCAGCCACGGGAACUACUUCAACAUCAACCAAGUCCGUGCCAACAAUGACUUCUACCUCGACGACGCUAGCGUCUUUGACAUUGAUCAAGUCUACCUCGAACAUGGCUACUACCGUAAAGGAUAUCACCACCACUCUGGCAGUUCCAUGGGACCCGGGCAUAAAUUCUUCGGUGUCGGCUUGGGGUCAAGCCGAGUUUCAAGGAGGGAGGAAUGUCAUGGGAACUACUUCAUCAACCACAACCAAAGAGGCUCAAGGCCGGCCCACGAGGCCCAAACAGACUGCAAAGCCCAACCCGAGGAAGCAUGACCUGAUAUAUAGAGGAACACAUCGCUUCAGGGAAGGGGCAUCGAAGAACUGGAACCCGAACUGGCCGCCGUUGGGCGUUUUCCCUCUCCCACCUCCCGGCUCUAGAUUCCCAGAUCUCCUUUCUUGCUGA
rnacentral:rRNA from 1 species